UACGAAGGGGGCGAGCGUUAUUCGGAAUCACUGGGCGUAAAGCGUGCGUAGGCUGUCUAGACAGUUGGAAGUGAAAGCCCAGGGCUCAACCCUGGAAUUGCUUUCAAAACUACUAGACUCGGAUUUGGGAGAGGAUAGCGGAAUUGUCAGUGUAGCAGUGAAAUGCGUAGAUAUUGACAGGAACACCAGUGGCGCAAGCGGCUAUCUGGACCAACAUCGACGCUGAGGCACGAAAGCGUGGGGAUCAAACAGG
rnacentral:rRNA from 1 species